UCUGCAUAAAUAUCUAAACUAUACUUUUGAGACUUAAGACGAAGAUUUUUUCAACGAACAAGUGACCCCAGAGGCACGAUUUGACUCAACUUUGUAGAGGACUAUUACCCAAAUAUACACACCAAAUAUCUAAGCUCCAUGACUUGAGGUUUUAGACAAGGAGAUUUUUGAAGCUGAACCACAGGGGCAUGACUUGAGGUUUUAGACAAGGAGAUUUUUGAAGUUGAACCACAGGGGCAUGACUUGAGGUUUUAGACAAGGAGAUUUUUGAAGUUGAACCACAGGGGCAUGACUUGAGGUUUUAGACAAGGAGAUUUUUGAAGCUGAACCACAGGGGCAUGACUUGAGGUUUUAGACAAGGAGAUUUUUGAAG
rnacentral:lncRNA from 1 species